rnacentral:lncRNA from 1 species
CUUGUUAGCUCUGUCCCUCAAGCACCAGGUGUUACCGGGCUGUAAAGGGCAGUCUCUGGCCCAAGUGCUGGGGCACCAGAAGAACGGCAGAGGCAAACCCCCUGCCUCCUGUGGCUGAGGUCCUUGGGACGUGGGCAACAUGGACUGUAGAGUUCCGAGGGGCGACUGGCGGAGGUGAGACCGUGGAGAGCAGAGCAGGAAAGGAGUGUGCUAGCCCGGCUCCUGUCCCACCAGGUGGCCACAGAGGACCGUCUCCUCCCUGUUGGAGAGACCUGGGGCAAAGGUGGGGUGGGGCUGCCCAGGGCCUCAAGCCCACUGUGGUGGGCACCCCCACAGAGCUCUGGAAGCACUGGGGCUCCCUCAGGACUCGGGUUGACUGGUGUGGCACCAGGGGCACUUCGGCCCCACCCAGGGGACCGCAGUGUGCCGCACUCUUUGGAAACCCUGGUUACAGCUGGGUCCCACCUGCCCUCGUGCCAAGUGUGAUGUCCACCCUGGGUGGAACUCAGUGCCCUCACCCCCAAGGGUCACUUUCCCAGCAGCUUCUGUGCCGGGGUCCAGCCCUGGCAGGAUCCAGGGGUCCUGAAGGAGGAGUGGCGUCAGCGAAAGAAGAAGAGCGGGACGACAGGUUGCAAGUUAUGAGCAGCGUCCAGAAAGACCUGCUGCCCCAGGGGGCCUCUGUUUUAUGCCUUUUUAUAGGUGUUUUUCCAGGUAGUUAAUGGAUAGCCUCAAAGCCUGGAGCUUCUUUGACUUACAUGAUUUUCAAGAGUUACCAUCUUUUCUGACAUACAGUGUUACCUAAGAUAUUGAGUACCUUGUUCAAAAUAUCGUUCUGUAGCCUUAGACAGUCAGGACGUGAGCGUCACAUUUUCACCUCAAUGUCUAGGGGCUAGGCUGCCAACAGACCACGUGUCUCCAGACUUUUAUUCACUUCUAACUUUAAAGCGUACCUAGAGUUAUUUUAUCAACCUUUAGCUUUAAAGCAUACUUAUGAUUAUUGGAAAGCUUUCUUACUUUUAAACUAAAGUCCCAGUAAAACACACUUAAAAUAGUGAAAGUCUAGUACUUAAAAGCCUACUACUCUGAAGUGCUUCUAAGAUAUAUCUAUAUUGAUCUUACAUCAUUUAUUUUUAAUUUCCAAGGUAAUUUCCUUUUUUCAUGUGACCUACUUAAUUGCUUUCUCACAGUUUCCUUGAUCCUCGGUCAAAGCAUGCCAGUUCUUAUGUCUCUG